rnacentral:rRNA from 1 species
UGAGGAAUAUUGGGCAAUGCCCGCAAGGGUGACCCAGCAACGCCGCGUGGAGGAUGAAGACCUUUUGGUUGUAAACUUCUGUUGGAGGGGACGAAAGAUUGUGGCAUACCACAAGUUGACUGUACCCUCAAAGAAAGCACCGGCUAACUACGUGCCAGCAGCCGCGGUAAUACGUAGGGUGCAAGCGUUGUCCGGAUUUACUGGGUGUAAAGGGCGCGCAGGCGGACUUUUAAGUCAUUGGUGAAAUCUUUUCGCUUAACGAAAAAACUGCCUUUGAUACUAUUGGUCUUGAGUGCGGUAGAGAAAGACGGAAUUCCAGGUGUAGCGGUGAAAUGCGUAGAUAUCUGGAAGAACACCAGUUGCGAAGGCUGUCUUUUGGGCCGUAACUGACGCUCAGGCGCGAAAGCGUGGGUAGCAAACAGG